rnacentral:rRNA from 1 species
UAAACGACUCUCGGCAACGGAUAUCUCGGCUCUCGCAUCGAUGAAGAACGUAGCGAAAUGCGAUACUUGGUGUGAAUUGCAGAAUCCCGUGAACCAUCGAGUCUUUGAACGCAAGUUGCGCCCGAAGCCUUUAGGCCGAGGGCACGUUUGCCUGGGCGUCACAC